rnacentral:rRNA from 1 species
UACGUAGGGGGGCUAGCGUUGUCCGGAAUCAUUGGGCGUAAAGCGCGUGUAGGCGGUCCGGUAAGUCCGCUGUGAAAGUCGGGGGCUCAACCCUCGAAUGCCGGUGGAUACUGUCGGGCUUGAGUGCGGGAGAGGCGAGUGGAAUUCCUGGUGUAGCGGUGAAAUGCGCAGAUAUCAGGAGGAACACCGAUUGCGAAGGCAGCUCGCUGGAACGUUACUGACGCUGAGACGCGAAAGCGUGGGGAGCAAACAGG